rnacentral:rRNA from 1 species
ACAUGCCUACAACAUAGCAUUAAUGCACUGGAUCCCAUUAGAACUCUAUAGUUAAGUGCGCUCAUGCUAGAGUAGUACUGGGAUGGGUGAUCACCCGAGAAUUCCUAAUGUUUUACAUGCC